CUGAUAUUUAAGUUGGGGUGGGGACAUGGUGAUGACGUCACGUCUCCUUAAAGCUCAAAGACCUCCCAUUGGACGGGAGGAGGCUUUUUAAAGGAGCAGUCAGCGGAGAAGCGGAGGCUCCGGUCACCUUCAGACGGCUCUCCGGCUCACCACCCCGGCGGGACGGGACGUGAGAAGCUUCGGUGGGGGUUUGGACUCUCGUUUAUCAGAUGACGCGAUGAAGACGAGGAGGCGUUUAAAUGCAGAUAUCAACAGGGCAAGAAACACUUUGUUAGCAUCUUCCUGGUGCACCUUCUCAUUCCUCCGUGGUAUUUAGAGCGCACCUGAAGGUCAAGAGAAAGCGAGAGCGACGAAAAGCUGCGAUGAAGAGAAAGGAAAAGAACGGGAAUGCUCUGCGACCCGUACAAUGCGAGCACAUUGUUGGCCCGGCAUUGUGUGAGCGAAAGCAGGCAGCCGGCACCCCGGAGAGCAUCAAUGGCUCCAGUAACGUAAACUUGGUGCCAGCACAAGCUGUCACUCCCAGUAUUGUUGGCUCUGACAGCUCCUCUGAUGAGGGCAUUGUAAGGAGACAGACUCGGAACGCCAGAACGUGGAGGCUGCAUGUGUUUACAACAGAGUGAUAAAGAUGUAGAUGUAAAGCUGUGGCUACAACAAGGCCUGUCUGACUUUAAUAGGAGAAGGGAAGCGGGAGAUUUUUUUUUUUUUUUUUUACUUGGCAAUGCUUGAAAGUUUUUAUGUAGAUUGUCGACUCACAUGUUUACAAUGAGUGAUUAGUGAUUAGUGACUCAAGUUCGAUUCCCACUCGGGCAUCUCAGCUGGGAUAGGCUCCAGCACCCCCGUGACGCUCGUGAGGAUAAGCGGUAGAAAAUGAAUGAAUGUCUCCAAAUGACAUUAAUACAAAAAAUAAUAAUAACAUUAAAAAUAACAGCAUGCACAGUGGACAAGUGGUUCGCGCGCAGGCCACACAGCUCAGAGAUUCAAGCUCGAUUCCCCACUCGGGCAUCUCAGCUGGGAUAGGCUCCAGCACCCCCUGACCCUCGUGAGGAUAAGCGGUAGAAAAUGAAUGAAUGUCUCCAAAUGACAUUAAUACAAAAAAAUAAUAAUGACAUUAAAAACAACAGCAUGCACAGUGGUAAGUGGUUUACACGCAGGCCACACAGCUCAGAAACUCAGGUUUGAUUCCCCGCUCAGGCAUCUCUGUGUGCAGUUCACAUGUUCUCCCCGUGGGUUUUCUCCGGGUACUCCGUUUUCCUCCCACAUUCCAAAAACAUGCUAGGUUAAUUGGCGACUCCAAAUUGUCCAUAGGUAUGAAUGUGAGUGUGAAUGGUUGUUUGUCUAUAUGUGCCCUGUGAUUGGCUGACUCCUACCCUCUCACCCAAAGACAGCUGGGAUAGGCUCCAGCACCCCCGUGACCCUCGUGAGGAUAAGCAACAAAAUAACAACAUGGCUGCACAGUGUAGGAGUGGUUAGCGCGCAGGCCACACAGCUCAGAGAUUUUUGUUCGAUUCCCCACUCGGUCAUCUCUGUGUGCAGUUCACAUGUUCUCCCCGUGGGUUUUCCCCCGGAUACUGUGGUUUCCUCCCGCAUUCCAAAAACAUGCUAGGUUAAUUAGCGACUCCAAAUUGUCCAUAGGUAUGAAUGUGAGUGUGAAUGGUUGUUUGUCUAUAUGUGCCCUGUGAUUGGCUGGCGACCAGUCCAGGGAGUACCCCACCUCUCACCCAGAAUCAGCUAGUGGAUCCUAGUGGACACCAUCCAUUCUCUGCGAUAUGAAUUUUUCCAAUGCAGCAGUAAUGACAUAGGAAUUUACUUUUAUGAAAUAUCGGACAGCGGCUUUAUGAUGGGUUUUGGGCUUGUUUGAGACUCGACUUGUGUUGUGUGUUGUACUUCGCCUACAAGCGUAUAAAAAAAGGCUCAGCAAGAAGAGAGCAGAUAUGAAUUGAAAGAUAUUGAAGCAGGGACUAAAGAGCUGUAUGUGUUCAUGCUGGCGUAUGCGUAUUGGUGUGUGUUCUUUUCAGGUCUUAAGAGCUCUUAUGGCCGAGCGAUAAAAUAUAGAGCAUAGCACUCCCCGACCUUGACGGUCAUUUCAUCUACCUCCAAAUGUCACAAUUUCACAGACCUUUGUUGCAUCUUGUCUGUGCUUGUGUGUGUGUGAGGGGGAAGUAGGGACAAGUCACUUUUGGUCCUUUUCCAUAAGCAGCACACCUACAGACAUUAUAUAUGAAGACCAUACAUACAUUUUCUGUGAGGGAGAGUGGACUGUAUGUGUGUUAGGUAGGUUCAGCACUGGAGAACCUCAUCCACACCAGAACCCUGGUCAGAGAGUGAGUCCGGACACAGUAGCAGAACUGUGUGAACUUUAUUACUUUACAGUCCAAUUUCCAUCCAACAGAUUAAUUUGUGAGUCGUAUAUCUUAAUGGGUCUGGUUUCUGUAAUGAAUAAUAAUAAUAAAUAAUAAUACAUUUUAUUUAUGUAGCGCUUUUCAGAGCACUCAAAGACGCAUUACAGUAGAGAAAAAAAAAAUAAAAAUAGAGUUGAGUAAAAACAGAGUAAAAGAUGCAUUAAAAUACAAUAACCAGACAUUAAUUCAUUCAUUCACUUUCUACCGCUUUUCCUUACGAGGGUCGCAGGGGUGCUGGAGCCUAUCCCAGCUGUCUUCGGGCAAGAGGCGGGGUACACCCUGGUUUGUGGCCAGCCAAUCACAGGGCACAUAUAGACAAACAAGCAUUCACACUCACAUUCAUACCUAUGGACAAGAUCAAAAAUUGACAAAAUAAAAUACAAAAAAUUUUUAAAAAAAUGUAAAUAUUAAAAAAUGUAAAUUUAAAACAAUUUGAUUAAAAUUUAAAACAAUUUAAUUAAAAUUUUAAUUAAAUUUAAUUUAAAUUUAAAAAAACUUCAACUAUAUUAUGAAAGCAGGAAGUGAAUGUAACAGUUACUGAUUGUAAAAGUACCAGAUGGAGGGGUAGGAUUUAAUAAGCUUUGCUUCUUCCUACUCCUUUUGGACAUGUGGAACUGUGAACUGAUUAUGUGAUGCAUUCAAUUGUAAUUUGAUGCAUGUUCAAAUGAAAUAAAACCAUUACCAUUACCAAUUAACCUAGCAUGUUUUUGGAAUGUGGGAGGAAACCGGGAGAACAUGCAAACUCCACACAGAGAUGUCCGAGGGUGGAAUUGAACUCGGCUCUCCUAGCUGUAAGGUCUGCGCGCUAACCACUGCUCCGCCGUGCAGCCUUCCAAACAUUGAUUCAGAGCUAAAACAAGGCUAAAAGCGGGGUGGGGCGCAACAGUCAUGUAUAAAAAGUUAGACAUUAAAAAUGGAUUUAAACAGGUGGGUUUUGAGUUGUUUUUUAAUGAACAUUAGCAUAAAUGCAAGUCACAAGUUUAGAACAGCACAUGCUAAUUUACACACACACACACACACACACAUAUACUGUAUUUGGAAAGGGCGGCAACAGGUUAGCUAGCACUUGAACUGUCAGUAGAAUACACUGGCGAACACAAAACAAUGGCCGGUAUUCGCCAACUAAUUUGCAUAUAAAUAAUGAUCGCGAACGAUCGUUAACGGCCCAUUAACUUACCUUCAUCACGAACGCAGACAGACAUAUACAGUACGAGAGCAAACGCCUUGUGACGUACCGAAUGGCUAGCUGUAGUCCAGUCCUACUGAGGACCCCUUAGUUGCCCCGCAAGUUGCCUGGUACAAACUCAAGUCUGCCCUGAACAGUGCCUGUACAAAACAUUACAUUAACAAUGAGAUUACAUUAACAACUGCUGCGGAAAGUUUGUUUUUGAUUCAAACUAAAUUUCAAGACUGGACAAAGGAAAAACUGGCAAUACAGAGUUAUUCCAACAAGUGAAAGAAAAACUUGAGGAAGUCGGUAUCACGUGAUGUUGGUGUUUACGUUUUAUUCAUUCAUUCAUUUUCUACCGCUUUUCCAGCUGUCUUCGGGCGAGAGGUGGGAUACACCCUGGACUAGUGGCCAGCCAAUCACAGGGCACAUAUAGACAAACAACCAUUCACACUCACAUUCAUACCUAUGGACAAUUUAGAGUCGCUAAUUAACCUAGCAUGUUUUUCGAAUGUGGGAGGAAACCGGAGUACCAGGAGAAAACCCACGCAUGCACGGGGAGAACAUGCAAAUUCCACACAAAGAUGGCCGAGGGUGGGAUUGAACCCUGAUCUCCUAGCUGUGAGGUCUGCGCGCUAACCACUCAACCACCAUGCCGCCCGUCUGUAAAAUUAAACAAUAAAAAAAAAUCCAAAAAUUGUUACAACUAUAAUGAUGAAAAUGGUAAUAUUAAUGAUGAUUAUAAUAAUGGUGAUAAUAAUAAUAAUAAUGCUAAAAAUUAUAACAAUAAUGAUAAUAACAAUAAUAAUAUUACAAUGAUAAUAAUAACAGGGGAAAACAAGACUAUGCAAAAAGGGGUAGGCAUUUAUAAGCUUUUGCUUCAGCAUACAAUACAAAUGUAAAUAAUGUAAAGUUAUAUUUUGAUUGAUGUAAGAAAUGCACUGUAAUGUUUCAUAUAUUUGCCUAAAUAAAAUUAAAAAAAAUAAAAAUAAAAUAAAUCAAAAAUAAUGACGUAGCAGUGCAAUAUUGGCUAAUAUUGUGGUGCAUUUUUCUGCUAUUAAAGUAUAGAAUAAAAAGCGAUAUACCAACAGCAAGGUCAGAUGAUGCUUGAAUUAUUAACAGGAAAUAGGAAGUAGCCGAGUUUGUUUAUAAAAAAAAAGCCAUUACCAUUUCAUUUCCAGGAUAUUUGACAUUCACAGCACAGCCUGAACCGCCAGAUUGUUGCCGUCGGUUGUCUCGACUCAAAAAAACAACAUGAAAACAGUUAAAUCGCAAUCAUUUUUGCACCUUCUAGUUUACUUUAUAUUCAUUUUUUUUAUGUUUUCACUUCACUUAUGCUCUUACUCCCUUUCAUCCUUCCUGUCCUUUACUUUCUCUUCUCAUGUACGUCCUUUUAUCCCCGCUUUUCGCCUUCAUUCCUUCCCUCCCUCUCCUUUAUCUUCCUUAUCCUGCGGAGAUCCAGCUUUAUUGCUCGACCUUUAGAUACCAAUACCGGAAGAUUAAACUUGUGUGUUUUAGUGUUCUGUUAUUAAAAGAGACGCUCCGCCACACAACUGUGUGCGGUGCCGUGUGUACAUACGGUACUUGUCGCCACGCUGUAGCUCAUCUUGUAGGAUUUGCAUCUGCUCCGAGGUAAGAAUUUGGGUUUGCCGUGGCGCUUAUUAGCGGCUGUGAAGCUCCUGAAUGAAUUGAACAAAAUUGCUUUGUUUCUCAGCAGGUUAGAUAUCAUCUCACCUUGAUGCUUGGUGCAAACACAGGUGUGUGUCUUUCUCUUGUUUUAUCUCUCAAUAAUUCAUGAGUGGAGUGUAAUGUGCAAGCAUGAUGCUAUUGAUGCUUCGACACUUUAUACGCUUUAUAUAAUAUAUUUGUUACAUGAUAAAUGUGUACCUGGCGGCGGUUGGUGCUAAAAUCUGUGAUGAAGUGUGACACAUUGUGGAAGACUAGUGAUUUUGUUGUUGUACGUUUGCAUCUUGACAACAAGUCACAGUCUACCUCACUGGGCCUCAUACGUACAUCCUUCCUAACACGUAACAUGGUAAUGGUAAUGGUUUUAUUUCAUUUGAACAUGCAUCAGAUUACAAUUGAAUGCAUCACAUAAUCAGUUCACAGUUCCACAUGUCCAAAAGGAGUAGGAAGAAGCAAAGCUUAUUAAAUCCUACCCCUCCAUCUGGUACUUUUACAAUCAGUAACUGUUACAUUUGUUCACUUCCUGCUUUCCUAAUAUGGUUUAAUGUUAUUUUUAAUUUUUAAUUUUUAAUUUUUAAUUUUUAAUUUUUAAUUUUUAAUUUUUAAUUUUUAAUUUUUAAUUUUUAAUUUUUAAUUUUUAAUUUUUAAUUUUUAAUUUUUAAUUUUUAAUUUUUAAUUUAAUUGUUCUAUCAAUCGAUCUCUCUCUCUCUCUCUCUCUCUAUCUAUCUAUCUAUCUAUCUAUCUAUCUAUCUAUCUAUCUAUCUAUCUAUCUAUCUAUCUAUCUAUCUAUCGAUCUCUCUCUCUCUCUCUCUCUCCCUCUACCUCUCCCUCUCCCUCUCCCUCCCUCUCUCUCUCUCUCUCCCUCCCUCUCUCUCUCUCUCUCUCUCUCUCUAUAUCUAUCUCUCUAUCUCUCUCUAUCGCUCUCUCUCUAUAUCUAUCUAUCUAUCUAUCUAUCUAUCUAUCUAUCUAUCUAUCUAUCUAUCUAUCUAUCUCCCUCUCUCCCUCUCUCCAUCUAUCAUCAGUCUAUCUAUCUAUCUAUCUAUCUAUCUAUCUAUCUAUCUAUCUAUCUAUCUAUCUAUCUAUCUAUCUAUCUAUCUAUCUAUCUAUCUAUCUAUCUAUCUAUCUAUCUAUCUAUCUAUCUAUCUAUCUAUCUAUCUAUCUAUCUAUCUAUCUAUCUAUCUAUCUAUCUAUCU